GACGAACGCUGGCGGCGUGCCUAAUACAUGCAAGUCGAGCGGACGGAUGGGAGCUUGCUCCCUGAAGUUAGCGGCGGACGGGUGAGUAACACGUGGGCAACCUGCCCUAUAGUUUGGGAUAACUCCGGGAAACCGGGGCUAAUACCGAAUGAUACAUUUCAUCUCCUGUUGAAAUGUUGAAAGAUGGUUUCGGCUAUCGCUAUAGGAUGGGCCCGCGGCGCAUUAGCUAGUAGGUGAGGUAACGGCUCAACUAGGCGACGAUGCGUAGCCGACCUGAGAGGGUGAUCGGCCACACUGGGACUGAGACACGGCCCAGACUCCUACGGGAGGCAGCAGUAGGGAAUCUUCCACAAUGGACGAAAGUCUGAUGGAGCAACGCCGCGUGAGUGAAGAAGGUUUUCGGAUCGUAAAACUCUGUUGUAAGGGAAGAAUAAGUGCAGUAGUAACUGGCUGCACCUUGACGGUACCUUAUUAGAAAGCCACGGCUAACUACGUGCCAGCCGCCGCCGUAAAAC
rnacentral:rRNA from 1 species